UACGUAGGGCGCAAGCGUUAUCCGGAAUUAUUGGGCGUAAAGAGCUCUUAGGCGGUUUGUCGCGUCUGCCGUGAAAGUCCGGGGCUCAACUCCGGAUCUGCGGUGGGUACGGGCAGACUAGAGUGAUGUAGGGGAGACUGGAAUUCCUGGUGUAGCGGUGAAAUGCGCAGAUAUCAGGAGAAACACCGAUGGCGAAGGCAGGUCUCUGGGCAUUAACUGACGCGGAGGAGCGAAAGCAUGGGGAGCGAACAGG
rnacentral:rRNA from 1 species